rnacentral:rRNA from 1 species
GAUGAACGCUGGCGGCGUGCCUAAUACAUGCAAGUCGAGCGAACAGAUGAGGAGCUUGCUCCUCUGACGUUAGCGGCGGACGGGUGAGUAACACGUGGAUAACCUACCUAUAAGACUGGGAUAACUUCGGGAAACCGGAGCUAAUACCGGAUAAUAUAUUGAACCGCAUGGUUCAAUAGUGAAAGACGGUUUUGCUGUCACUUAUAGAUGGAUCCGCGCCGCAUUAGCUAGUUGGUAAGGUAACGGCUUACCAAGGCAACGAUGCGUAGCCGACCUGAGAGGGUGAUCGGCCACACUGGAACUGAGACACGGUCCAGACUCCUACGGGAGGCAGCAGUAGGGAAUCUUCCGCAGUGGGCGAAAGCCUGACGGAGCAACGCCGCGUGAGUGAUGAAGGUCUUCGGAUCGUAAAACUCUGUUAUUAGGGAAGAACAAAUGUGUAAGUAACGAUGCACGUCUUGACGGUACCUAAUCAGAAAGCCACGGCUAACUACGU